rnacentral:rRNA from 1 species
UUCGCAAUGCCCGAAAGGGUGACGAAGCGACGCCGCGUGCGGGAAGAAGGCCUUCGGGUUGUAAACCGCUGUCGGGAGUUGGGAAAUGCAAGGAUGUUAAUAGCGUCUUUGCUUGACUAAGGCUCCGGAGGAAGCCACGGCUAACUCUGUGCCAGCAGCCGCGGUAAUACAGAGGCGGCAAGCGUUGUUCGGAAUUAUUGGGCGUAAAGAGCACGUAGGCGGCCGUGUAAGUCGGUUGUGAAAGCCUCCCGCUCAACGGGAGAACGGCAUCCGAUACUGCAUGGCUCGAGUGCGGGAGGGGAGAGUGGAACUUCUGGUGGAGCGGUGAAAUGCGUAGAUAUCAGAAGGAACACCGGCGGCGAAGGCGACUCUUUGGCCCGUAACUGACGCUGAGUGUGCGAAAGCUAGGGGAGCAAACGGGAUUAGAUACCCCGGUAGUCCUAGCCGUAAACGAUGGGCACUAAGUAGAGGGGUUUU